GACGAACGCUGGCGGCGCGCCUAACACAUGCAAGUCGAACGGAGCUGCGAGAAGCUUGCUUUUCUUAGCUUAGUGGCGAACGGGUGAGUAACGCGUGAGUAACCUGCCCUGGAGUGGGGGACAACAGUUGGAAACGACUGCUAAUACCGCAUAAGCCCACGAUCCGGCAUCGGCUUGAGGGAAAAGGAUUUAUUCGCUUCAGGAUGGACUCGCGUCCAAUUAGCUAGUUGGUGAGGUAACGGCCCACCAAGGCGACGAUUGGUAGCCGGACUGAGAGGUUGAGUCGCGACAUUUGGACUGAGCCACAGCCCAGACUCCUACGCGAGGCAGGAGUGGGGGAUAUUGCACAAUGGGGGAAACCCUGAUGCAGCGACGCCGCGUGGAGGAAGAAGGUUGGCGGAUUGUAAACUCCUGUCGUUAGGGACGAUAAUGACGGUACCUAACAAGAAAGCACCGGCUAACUACGUG
rnacentral:rRNA from 1 species